AUACAGGACACCCAGUCCAAUUUGAAUUUCAGAUAAAUAGUGAAUCAUUUCUUAAUACAAGUAUAUCCCAUGUAAUAUUUGGGACAUACUUAUACUAAAAUAAAAGGAUGUUCUUUAUUUAACAUUCAAAUUUAACCGGAUGUCCUAUAUUUU
rnacentral:miRNA from 1 species